rnacentral:rRNA from 1 species
UACAGAGGGUGCAAGCGUUAAUCGGAAUUACUGGGCGUAAAGCGUGCGUAGACGGUUAUCUAAGUCGAGUGUGAAAUCCCCGGGCUCAACCUGGGAAUUGCAUUCGAUACUGAAUAGCUAGGGUACGGAAGAGGGAAGCGGAAUUUCUGGUGUAGCGGUGAAAUGCGUAGAUAUCAGAAGGAACAUCAGUGGCGAAAGCGGCUUCCUGGUCCAGUACCGACGUUCAAGCACGAAAGCGUGGGGAGCAAACAGGAUUAGAUCCCCUGGUAGUCCACGCCAUAAACGAUGAGGACUAGACGUUGGAGGGGUUAGCCUUUCAGUGUCGCAGCUAACGCGAUAAGUCCUCCGCCUGGGGAGUACGGCCGCAAGGUUG